UGGGGAAUCUUGCACAAUGGGGGAAACCCUUAUGCAGCGACGCCGCGUGAGCGAUGAAGGUUUUCGAAUCGUAAAGCUCUGUCCUAUGGGAAGAUAAUGACGGUACCAUGGGAGGAAGCCCCGGCUAACUACGUGCCAGCAGCCGCGGUAAUACGGAGGGGGCGAGCGUUUUCCGGAAUUACUGGGCGUAAAGGGUUCGCAGGCGGCAUGGCAAGUCCGAUGUAAAAGGCGAAGGCUCAACCUUCGUAAGCAUCGGAAACUGUCAAGCUUGAGUGAAGGAGAGGCAAGUGGAAUUCCUAGUGUAGCGGUGGAAUGCGUAGAUAUUAGGAGGAAUACCGGUGGCGAAGGCGACUUGCUGGACUUCAACUGACGCUGAGGAACGAAAGCGUGGGUAGCAAACAGA
rnacentral:rRNA from 1 species